CUUGACCGAGCCGACCAAUACCGGCGCCGCGCGAUCCUGGCCAUAGGUGGCCAGCAGAGCCUGCGCCUC
rnacentral:antisense_RNA from 1 species